GUGGGGAAUAUUGGGCAAUGGGGGAAACCCUGACCCAGCGACGCCGCGUGAGGGAAGAAGGCCUUAGGGUCGUAAACCUCUGUUGUGUGGGAAGAAGAGCGUGACGGUACCACACGAGGAAGUCCCGGCUAACUACGUGCCAGCAGCCGCGGUAAUACGUAGGGGACGAGCGUUGUCCGGAAUUACUGGGCGUAAAGGGCGCGUAGGCGGUCAUUUAAGUCAGCUGUGAAAUGGUCCGGCUCAACCGGAUCAUGCGGUUGAAACUGGAUGACUGGAGUGCUGGAGAGGCAAGUGGAAUUCCCAGUGUAGCGGUGAAAUGCGUAGAUAUUGGGAAGAACACCGGUGGCGAAGGCGACUUGCUGGCCAGCAACUGACGCUGAGGCGCGAAAGCCAGGGGAGCAAACGGGAUUAGAAACCCCUGUAGUCC
rnacentral:rRNA from 1 species